AAAUUGAAGAGUUUGAUCAUGGCUCAGAUUGAACGCUGGCGGCAGGCCUAACACAUGCAAGUCGAACGGUAACAGGAAACAGCUUGCUGUUUCGCUGACGAGUGGCGGACGGGUGAGUAAUGUCUGGGAAACUGCCUGAUGGAGGGGGAUAACUACUGGAAACGGUAGCUAAUACCGCAUAAUGUCGCAAGACUAAAGAGGGGGACCUUCGGGCCUCUUGCCAUCGGAUGUGCCCAGAUGGGAUUAGCUAGUAGGUGGGGUAACGGCUCACCUAGGCGACGAUCCCUAGCUGGUCUGAGAGGAUGACCAGCCACACU
rnacentral:rRNA from 1 species